UACGUAGGGUGCAAGCGUUGUCCGGAAUUAUUGGGCGUAAAGAGCUCGUAGGCGGUGUGUCACGUCGGCCGUGAAAACCUGCAGCUUAACUGUGGGCGUGCGGUCGAUACGGGCAUCACUGGAGUUCGGCAGGGGAGACUGGAAUUCCUGGUGUAGCGGUGAAAUGCGCAGAUAUCAGGAGGAACACCGAUGGCGAAGGCAGGUCUCUGGGCCAUAACUGACGCUGAGAAGCGAAAGCAUGGGGAGCGAACAGG
rnacentral:rRNA from 1 species